CAUGGCCUGCUGCAGUUCCUAGGAGAGAGAGCUUCGAAGGUGAGGAGAUAUAGAAGAACAGAAGGGAGAGGAGGAAGGGCAGGGGCGUGGCGGCCUUGACGGUGAACCUCGGGUUGCGACGGUCUCCGGCGAGAGGCGGCGUGGGGUGGCGGCGCGAGCCUACGGAGCGGCGGCGGCUUGGAGCUGCGGGAGCUCGGGCGUUUGGAUGCGUUUGGAUCGCAGGCCUAAGGUUAUGCAUAUUGGCAGGUGGUCGCUUUCAUGGUUGGAGUGAGCAGCUUGGCCAGGUACCAUGCGCAACAAUCCCACGGAAUCUACCACCCUUCAUGGCUGCCAGAGCUGGUGUAGUGUGGCGAAGAUGUCGUCAAUUGUGGCGACACAAAUGGUGAGCGACCAAUAAAAAGAAGUAAGAUUGCCGUUGAUGUUCUUGUGCAGGAGUGCUCCGAUUAUUGAUCAAGGGAGCAUUGGUCUGAUUUAAGAGGAGAUUAGUAGCUUAUUUUGUUCACAUAUGUUUAAGAGGGGACCGAGAAAAUUUCUUGCUAAGCUUAUAACAGUGUUGCACGGGCAAACUUCUGCCAUGAAGAAAUAUAACUAGAAACACGGUGUUUUUGAUUGGGAAUGGAUGUAUCUUCAAAAA